CCCGGGACCAUGGCGGUGCUUGCUGCUGGGGCUGGCGGCUUGCUCGGCCGGGCGACUAGUUCUGGCCUGGUCAGUCGGCGGCCGACAUCCUGUCUGGGGCGGCGUACCACAGACGGUACCUUCUGUGUGACGUCAACCCUCCAGAGGGCUUCAGCCUCCGUAGGGGCGUCUGUAUCCACAUCACCUUCUUCCUGAAGACCCUGCUGAAAAUGGUGGAGUUGGUGCUGGUGCUACCCCCUUGGGGUCGCCUCUACCAUUGGCAGAGCCUGGACAUCCACCAGGUCCUGAUUCCCUGGUCUGACUUUUUUGAUCUCUCAAGUCUCAACAGAAACAUCCCUGACACUGAGUACAAACAGUUCAUUGCAGGGUUCACUUGGUGAGAAUAAUAGUAACCAAAGAAACAGCAAACCCUUACAGAACUCUGUCCUGCUGUUCCAGGAACGCUGUGUUCACGACAAACAAUGAGUUGGCACCACUAUGAGUUCCACUUUAAAGGUAAGGACAUUCAUUAAUCACACGGCUAAUAAAUGGCAGAGCUGGGACUUGAACCCAAGCUCUCUGGCCCC